GUCUCUACAUGAUAAAAUUAAACUAUUGACAAAAUUCCAUAGCUUCAGUAGUUCCGGCUAGGCGAUUUUACAUUUUUACAUUUCAAAACUAGCAUGAUGAGUGUCAACAUUUACCAGUGAUUGGCAACAAUUGACUGUCUUGGAUAUUCAUUUAUAUAUACAAGAUUACAACAAAAAUCAACUUAAUAAAUAACACUAAGAAAUUAUUUAUAGUUUGAAACUGUUAUUGGUAUAUUUUAAACCAUGAUAAACUGGAUAAAUAAUUAUAAACUAUUUAAAAAAAA